UGAAGCUUGCAACACAAACUGGAAAGACAGUUCAAGUCAUUUUAGACAAUGAACAACAGUGGAGAGGACUGUAUCCACGAAAUGAGUCAGGAGGGGCAGUUUUGCCACCAGAGAAGAAUUCCUCUUCACCAGCUGUGAUAUCAUUUAACAAUGACAGCUCUCUGGUUUACUGAAAGACUGAAAGAACUUUACUGAUGCAUAUUGCACCGCAUGUUUUCCACUUGUUCUAAUGGUUGCCCGUCGGACAGAGCUGAAAAUAUUUACAAGUGUUCGAACACUGGCCCUGACGAUGCGUUCCAGGUGACAUCAGCGUAAAUACCGCCUGGCCGGAGGGGAGGAUCCAACGCUCACGUCGCGUUGUGUGCAGCCUUUCAUGAAACCAGGGUAUCAAGAAAAGCUGGAAAGCUGUCAAAUAGUUGGACUUCAAUUCCUGGCUAAAUUUCAAGGGAACAGGAAUCCUGAACUAGUAUACGUGACUGACAAAGAAGUAGCAUUAUGAAAUAAUUUCAUCAUCUGAAAAGAAUACUGGAUUCCUUCCAUUAACUGACAAGCAGAUCCAGCCCGCAAAGCAGCAGCAAACUAUCAUAGCGUCCUUCUGCCAGAGAAUUCACCAGGUCAUCACACACCAGAGACUAGUUGUAGGAACUAUCAUUGUCAUCUGUGCUGACAAGCAGGGCGAUGUGGUGGUGUGUGCUUUGAAGAGCUCUGUGUCGAGCUGACAGUUCUAACUGAACGACUGAACUGCUGAACGGGAUGAUUGCUUUCUUCUCUUCUCUGAUGCUCGUGCUACUGAUCUCGGCACAACUGCUUCCCCAGCAUCUGUGUGGAUCUGGUAUUCCUCCACUGAUCCUGAAUCAAAGUGCAAGUGGUUUUAACCACUUGCAACUGAGAGUGACUAUGGUUCACCAUACUGAUGGGCUUUCAGCUCGCAACAGCCCUGGCCUGGCUCAUUCACUAAAGGACACAUGGAGACGAUCCUCACUUUUGGGAUGAUGACACUGACGGCCAAAUGCCCAGCAGAGGUGAAUGGUGGGAGAGAAAUGCUGCGUGUCACUCCGAUGCGGAUGCUGGCAGAGGGGCCAAGAGUAUCAACACUAUGAAAGCUAUGGAGAGAGAGAGCUGUUGAAAAAAAGUGUCCCCCACUGAACUGGGAGCUUUGGUGAACAAGCCAGAAGAACCUGAAGGAGACCUUCAAUAUUGUUACGGCUAAACAUCUUUCUUUUUUCCUUUAUGCCCAAACUGAAAGAUAUUAGAGAAUCCAUCAGAGUCUACAAUAACAGCAAAAAUGAUGAAAUUUAAAUACUAACUUUAUAGAAAGGAACCAUGCAAAACAGCAAAAAGAAGUUGAGCUUAUUUGGAUGUGCUCCUGGAAGUAAGUUUUGAGCCAAAAUGAAUAUAGUGUACUAAGUACACAGCACAUAUAAUACAAACUUAAGAGCUCACCUUUAUGUUAAACAAUAUAUCCCCUCCAAAACCACCACCACCACAAAUCUGAUCUAAAACUGACAUAAAUUGAAUAUCUUCUUCGUCUUUCAAAAAAGAAAGUCAACAAAUGUUUGUAUU